CUGCAUCUUGCUUAGUGAAGCAAUGGAUAAAAUAUUAUCUACUCAUUAAUUCAUACGUCACCAGUAACUGUUAGGUGAGGUGUACAUGGAUCAGUGGAAGUGCAAUACCCAUUAAAAAUUGAUCAUGUAUAGAUUUCUAUUUCUCCACUCAAGGAGUAUGGGAGACUCAUAGAAAUAGUAGGAGCCUUGUUUAUUUAUUAAAAUCC
rnacentral:lncRNA from 1 species